AUUGAACGCUGGCGGCAUGCCUUACACAUGCAAGUCGAACGGCAGCACGGGUGCUUGCACCUGGUGGCGAGUGGCGAACGGGUGAGUAAUACAUCGGAACGUACCUUAUCGUGGGGGAUAACGCAGCGAAAGCUGUGCUAAUACCGCAUACGCCCUGAGGGGGAAAGCGGGGGAUCGCAAGACCUCGCGCGAUGAGAGCGGCCGAUGCCUGAUUAGCUUGUUGGUGGGGUAAAAGCCCACCAAGGCGACGAUCAGUAGCUGGGCUGAGAGGACGAUCAGCCACACUGGGACUGAGACACGGCCCAGACUCCUACGGGAGGCAGCAGUGGGGAAUUUUGGACAAUGGGGGUAACCCUGAUCCAGCAAUGCCGCGUGAGUGAAGAAGGCCUUCGGGUUGUAAAGCUCUUUUGUCAGGGAAGAAACACCGGCUCUAACACAGUCCGGGAAUGACGGUACCUGAAGAAUAAGCACCGGCUAACUACGUGCCAGCAGCCGCCGUAA
rnacentral:rRNA from 1 species